rnacentral:rRNA from 1 species
GCCAGACUCCUACGGGAGGCAGCAGUGAGGAAUAUUGGUCAAUGGGCGAGAGCCUGAACCAGCCAAGUCGCGUGAAGGAAGAAGGCUUUCGGGUUGUAAACUUCUUUUCUGAGGGACGAAGAAAGUGACGGUACCUCAGGAAUAAGCCACGGCUAACUACGUGCCAGCAGCCGCGGUAAUACGUAGGUGGCAAGCGUUAUCCGGAUUUAUUGGGUGUAAAGGGCGUGUAGGCGGGAAAGCAAGUCAGAUGUGAAAACUCAGGGCUCAACCCUGAGCCUGCAUUUGAAACUGUUUUUCUUGAGUGCUGGAGAGGCAAUCGGAAUUCCGUGUGUAGCGGUGAAAUGCGUAGAUAUACGGAGGAACACCAGUGGCGAAGGCGGAUUGCUGGACAGUAACUGACGCUGAGGCGCGAAAGCGUGGGGAGCAAACAGGAUUAGAUACCCUAGUAA